CUGUGAAACAAGAUACAGGCUAGCGGCGGACGGGUGAGUAACACGUGGGUAACCUGCCCAAGAGAUCGGGAUAACACCUGGAAACAGAUGCUAAUACCGGAUAACAACAGAUGAUGCCUAUCAACUGUUUAAAAGAUGGUUCUGCUAUCACUCUUGGAUGGACCUGCGGUGCAUUAGCUAGUUGGUAGGGUAACGGCCUACCAAGGCGAUGAUGCAUAGCCGAGUUGAGAGACUGAUCGGCCACAUUGGGACUGAGACACGGCCCAAACUCCUACGGGAGGCAGCAGUAGGGAAUCUUCCACAAUGGACGCAAGUCUGAUGGAGCAACGCCGCGUGAGUGAAGAAGGGUUUCGGCUCGUAAAGCUCUGUUGUUGGUGAAGAAGGACAGGGGGUAGUAACUGACCUUUGUUUGACGGU
rnacentral:rRNA from 1 species